AAUUUUUAUUUUUUUCUUCCUCGAAGUUUUGUUCUACUAUGGAAAUAUUUGAUUUAAAUCUUCUUUUUCAAUUUAAAUCAGAGAUUCUGCUUUAGAAAUUUCUUGGACCACUUCGGCAGAUUAAUAAAAUUUAUUACAUAUGGAUGUAUUUAACUAGUCUUUCAGAUAAAAGAUCCUUAGUUGCAACAAGUGGUAACUUCUUGCUUCUCAUUUUACUAAAAAGCUGUACAGGUAAAAAUUUUAUGAAAAGAAAAAUAUGAUGAGGGGUAAAAGCAACAUUAAAAACAAAAGAAAUUCAUUAUAACCAACAUAAAUUUAUAAUAAUGUGUCCACUGUGACUAAUGAAGACUUAAUUAGUGUCGACAAUUUCACGCAAAAUUUUAUAACGGGAUAUAAAAACGGACGUUCUAAUCUUAUUCGUAAAUCAAACAGAGCAAAAAUGAAAUCAAUUUUCGUAAUUGUCUUGGCUCUCUUCGUCGUAAUGGCGAUGGUCCCCGAAAUAAAUGGUGCGGCUGAGUGCUCUGAUUCGAAAGAGUGCAUUGCAUACUGCAAAAGUCGAUGUGCAUUUUCUUCAUUCGUGCUAUGUUAUUUUGGUCAAUGCUAUUGUCAUUAAGAUUAAAAAAAGGAUAUAUUCGAACACAUUAUAAAAGAAAGUUGUGAAAUAACAUUGUUAUAUUAAUAAUAUAUGCUUUUAUCAA